rnacentral:rRNA from 1 species
ACGGAGGGUGCGAGCGUUAAUCGGAAUUACUGGGCGUAAAGCGCGCGUAGGCGGCUUGAUUAGUCGGAUGUGAAAGCCCCGGGCUUAACCUGGGAAUUGCAUUCGAUACUGUCUGGCUAGAGUAUGGGAGAGGGAAGUGGAAUUUCCGGUGUAGCGGUGAAAUGCGUAGAUAUCGGAAGGAACACCAGUUGCGAAGGCGGCUUCCUGGCCCAAUACUGACGCUGAGGUGCGAAAGCGUGGGGAGCGAACAGG